UUACGGGAGGCAGCAGUGGGGAAUAUUGCGCAAUGGGCGGAAGCCUGACGCAGCGACGCCGCGUGGGGGAUGAAGGCCUUCGGGUUGUAAACCUCUUUCAGCGCCGAAGAAGCGGGAGUGACGGUAGGCGCAGAAGAAGCACCGGCUAACUACGUGCCAGCAGCCGCGGUAAUACGUAGGGUGCGAGCGUUGUCCGGAAUUAUUGGGCGUAAAGAGCUCGUAGGCGGUCUGUCGCGUCUGCUGUGAAAACCUGGGGCUUAACUCCGGGCUUGCAGUGGGUACGGGCUGACUGGAGUGCGGUAGGGGAGACUGGAAUUCCUGGUGUAGCGGUGAAAUGCGCAGAUAUCAGGAGGAACACCGGUGGCGAAGGCGGGUCUCUGGGCCGUAACUGACGCUGAGGAGCGAAAGCGUGGGGAGCGAACAGGAUUAGAUACCCUGGUAGA
rnacentral:rRNA from 1 species